CUGAAGCCCCUAGAGGAGCAGGAUAGAUGAUGUAUGCUCACUAAGCUACACACUAAUAUUGCACCCCGUGACCCUGACUGGGUCAAUCAAAUGGAAACUACAGUGUGGCAUAAAUUCUACUCAGGUCCAGCAAUUCUUCAGCUUAUUCUGUAAUGAUGCAUAACCAUGACACUAGAGAAAUGUAACACAGCGCUAUAUGCAACCAGAAUACAUGAAUAUGACAGCGCGUCUAAUGUGUGUGAUGGGAAAUACAUGUCACUGGUCACCUGACAAAAUCUGUCUGCUGGUCUCAUGGUCUCCGGUGUUGGGAAAGAACCCCUCUGUGGAGGAUCCAGGAUCAAUCCCGCCCAUCAAAGGACGUAAAUGAUUUAUAGAUACUUGCUCAAUGAAAGAUGUGCCGUACUUUCUGAAGUAACACCACUCAAAAAUC